rnacentral:rRNA from 1 species
AAGGGGUGGCAUACGGCUCACUAACACUUAGUCAACCUACCCUAGGGACGGGGAUAACCUCGGGAAACUGAGGCUAAACCCCGAUAGGCUAUAACUUCUGGAAUGAGCUAUAGCUUAAAUCUAUAUGGCCCUAGGAUGGGACUGCGGCCGAUCAGGUAGUUGGUGGGGUAAUGGCCCACCAAGCCUAUAACCGGUGCGGGCUCUGAGAGGAGGAGCCCGGAGAUGGGCACUGAGACAAGGGCCCAGGUCCUAUGGGGCGCAGCAGGCGCGAAACCUCCGCAAUGGGCAAAAGCCCGACGGGGUUAGUCCGAGUGGCUCCUGCUAAAGGAGUCUUUUGCCAGCUGUAAAAAGGCUGGAGAAUAAGGGGUGGGCAAGUUUGGUGUCAGCCGCCGCGGUAAUACCAGCACCCCGAGUGGUCGGGACGAUUAUUGGGCCUAAAGCAUCCGUAGCCGGUCUAACAAGUCCUCCGUUAAAUCCAACGGCUCAACCGUUGGGCUGCGAGGAUACUGUUAGACUAGGGGCGGGAGAGGCGAGGGUAUUCCCAGGUAGGGUAAAAUCCACUGAUCCUGGGAGACA